rnacentral:rRNA from 1 species
CGACCGCAGGUCAUGCGAGGUUACACGUUGAGUUUAAGCAUAUCAAUAAGCGGAGGAA